rnacentral:rRNA from 1 species
UUUAAAUAGCUGCAGUAUUUUAACUGUACAAAGGUAGCAUAAUAAUUAGUCUUUUAAUUGAGGUCUUGAAUGAACGGUCUGACAAGAAAAAAACUUUAUUAGGUUAAUUUUAUAAAUUUUAUUUUUUAGUUAAAAAGCUAAAAUAUUUAAUUGGGACGAUAAGACCCUAUAGAUCUUAAAAUUUUUUUUUAAAAAAUUAUUUUAGUUAAUUAAAUUUUUUUGAGUAAAAAUUUUUCGUUGGGGUGAUGUGUAAAAUUUUAUAACUUUUUAAAUUUAAUACAUAAAUUGAUGGUUUAAAUUGAACCUAAAUUUAGGUUUGUUAAAAUAAGAUACCUUAGGGAUAACAGCACAAUAAAUUUGUAUAGUUCACAUAGAUAAAUUUGUUUGUGACCUCGAUGUUGAAUUAAUUUAAAGUUUUGGGGCAGAAAAUAAAAUUUUAGGUCUGUUCGACCUUUAAAAUAUUACA